GAACCCAGCAACAGGAAGUCUGUUAGCCAGGGACUCACAGAUAAUGCCUCUGUGGCGUGCCAGUGGGUAUCCGUGAGAGGGGAAGGCUGCUGGGUUCUGAUAUUACAUCCUCAUAAGUACUAUGGGAAAACUCUUUAAAAGCUCAUGGUUUGUGGUCUAUGCUGGUUUUUGUAAUUGUGUCGUCGUGGCAACCAUUUGCAAAGCAUCCCAAGUACUUCUGCCGCUCUGAAGCCCCACCCGGAUUCUCCCUGACUUUAUGGGAAGGUUCCCAAGGAGGCCAGAAGAGAAUGUUCAGCCCCCCUGCACUGGACUUACAGAAGUGACCACAGUAAAACAGGGAGCCACUGAAACCCCCACUCCCUCCCUACCUCAGGGCACACCAGACAAGUGUUUCUACCGUCCACUCCAUGACCAGAUGUUCACAAAAUGGAUGCUCACAGGAUGCUCUCUCCACGUUUGUGUCUGGGGAUUGAACUCGGGUCAUCAGGAUACAAGCAUCUAUACCACUGAGCCAUCUCUCCAGCCAGCACCUUUGAUUCUGUGUUGAUUGUUCCUGUUGGAAAGAGGCUAGAGUCAGCCCAUGAGGUAUACAAACCAGACAGCACAGUCUUGAGAAGAGGGUUCAGCCAAGAUCUCAGUGCUCACUUGCCUUCUGUAGCGGGCAUCCCCGCAAGCAGAGCUCACUUGUGCAAUCCCGGGAACUGGGCUGUCUUGUUGGCUGGAAAACACAAGAUCUUCCGGCUAUGCACGUGGGUGUCUGGGUAUCACCGGAUGGUGCUUUCACUGUUAUCUGAGUAAGAGCAGAAGUCUGGAGGCUGUCCGGGCACAUCAAAGCAUGUGCAGAGCUCAGAUAAAGGCCUUCUGGUUGCGCCCUCCUCAUUGCCUGCGGGAGAACGUGGGGACCAUGCUCAUCCCGGAACGUUCAACGGGUUCAGAUUUCAUGGAGUAAACUCAACCUUGUUGGUCGUUGGUUCCAGAAAAUUCUCCUUGGCCCUCACUCAGCCCUUCUCCUAGCUCAGAGAGAAUUCCUUCCGAACUGCGCCUUUACCUUCCUGUGGUCCACCCCUCCUCUGUAAAGAUUCCUUUACACUUGGAGCAUCUCUUAUUUUUGCUCACAGCCUCACUGGCAAAUAAAUAAAGAGAAGUAUAUAAACACACAA